rnacentral:rRNA from 1 species
AGGGAAAAGCCCAAAUUUGUAAUCUGACUCUUUCAAGUCCGAGUUGUAAUUUUAAGAACUGUUUUCAGUGCUGGACCAUGUACAAGUCUGUUGAAAAGCAGCAUCAUAGAAGGUGAUAAUCCUGUUCAUGAUAUGGACUACCAGUGCAAUAUGAUACAGUCUCUAAGAGUCGAGUUGUUUGGGAAUGCAGCUCAAAGUGGGUGGUAAAUUCCAUCUAAGGCUAAAUAUUGAUGAGAGACCGAUAGCAAACAAGUACCGUGAGGGAAAGAUGAAAAGAACUUUGGAAAGAGAGUUAACAGUACGUGAAAUUGUUAAAAGGGAAACAAUUGAAGUUAGACUUGUUAUUAUUAGUUCAACCUUUUCAAAGGAGUAUUCUAAUGAUUAACAGACCAACAUCAAUUUUUGAGUGUUGGAUAAGGGUUUAAGGAAAUGUAGCAGUCUCUGACUGUGUUAUAGUCCUGAGCUUUGAUACAAUGCUUAAGAUUGAGGAAUGCA